UCUUAUUCCAAAUAAUAAUGGUAUGUUUUCAGAUUUAUGGUGUUGCUCCUUUCCUUCUCCUGCUCCAUCACUUCACUCUUUCCCUCUCCUACCCUGAUGGCAGAUAAUACAUAACUCAUAAAAUAUAUUGGUGUGGAUACGAUGCUGAGAUGGGAUUUUUGUUUCUUCAUUCUUUUAGUAGGGGAAGAUGAACAGACACAUAGAGAUGGAUGGGUGAAGUGAAGUAGAAUAUUACUGAAUAAUCUUCAACCUUGAAUGAGGAAAAUGAGAUACAGGAUGCCUAAUGUUUCAUUGACAUCCAUGAAAAGAGACAUGAAAACAUCCAAAUCUCUCUCAGUGGAAGAAAGUUAAGGGGACCACAUGCAGAACCACAGCUCCACUGAGCAUGGUGACCCUGGCAGGACAACAGGGAUCCCAUCCGUGCACCUGUCCUUGUGUGGCCAGAGGGAGAGGCCGUGCCUCGUGCAUCAAGAAGAAAAUCAUGUUUGGAAGCUAUUCUAUAAUGAGUUUGAUAUGAUUCUGAAUCUUGGAACAGUGAUGAUUGUGCACAGAACACCAGUUAACAUGUCCUGUCCCAGUAAAGGAGAAGCUGUGGUCAUAGGAUAACAGUCCCAAGGAGCAGUCACCCAGAGGCUGAUCCCUGAUGACUUGCAAUCAAUAGUCUGUGAAACAAUAAGGUCAGGAGUGUGAAGAUUCAGAUUUUCUGCCUCUAAACACGGACCCAUGUGCUGGGCCACUGAGAAGAGUAUGACCUGAGCUCGUUGCCUGAUAGAAGAAUGGAGUCGGAGGAAAGGGAUUCAAAGUACCUGGAGAUAUGUAGAGCUGUUAAUAUGGUGUCUGUCCUCUUCACAGAGACAGCUGGGGGAAAGUGUAAACUUACAAUAGAUGUGACUGAAAAAUGUCAGCUUCUUGUUAAACCUUAAGCAGCGAUGGACCCUGAAACUGGAAUUCUAAGUCCCAUAUGCUGCCAUGCAACCCUGCAAAAAGAUGAAGAACAUUCACAAGCCCAGUCAUAAGAUCAGUUUUUGCAGUGAAGAUAAAGUAGGAGUUUAGGUUAUUUUUCAGGGUUCUUUUUUUUUUUUUUUUUUUUU